UACGAGGGUGGCAAGCGUUUGUUCGGAUUUACUGGGCGUAAAGCGUGCGUAGGCGGUUUGUUAAGUCUGUCGUGAAAGUCCAGGGCUCAACCCUGGAAUGCCGGUGGAAACUGUCGAGCUAGAGUCCGGAAGAGGCGAGUGGAAUUCCUGGUGUAGUGGUGAAAUGCGUAGAGAUCGGGAGGAACACCUGUGGCGAAGGCGGCCGACUGGGCCGACCCUGACGCUGAGGCGCGAAGGCGUGGGGAGCGAACGGG
rnacentral:rRNA from 1 species